rnacentral:lncRNA from 1 species
CGUCGGCGAUGGCGGCGACUAGGAGGGAAUCGUGGGACUCAGACCAUGCGACGUCGUAUACGCCGUCGGCGGUGUCGUAGGAGACGAGCUCGGUGAUUGGUUGGCGGGGUACGCCGGGGCCCAGAGGGGCGGGAGAGAGGUCGAUGACGUGGAGGCGGCCGUUGCCGAGGAUGCCGAAGUUUUGAGAGGUGGCGACGGCGAGCCGGGACUCGUAGAAGGGGCUGAACUUGACGGAGUAACCGUUGAACGGAGUUUUGAACACCGGCAUUGUUUAGUCCGCGUUUGGCUUUCGAUUUUGGGGGUUUCGGAGGCUGACGAGUCCUUCGGAUUAUUUGGC